GAAACUUUCCUUGUUUUGUGGAAAAUAUCAUUUAUUGAUGUAGGAUACAUUUUCUUUAAGGACAAGUCAAAGCUAUUUAAUAUUGAGCAGUAUUAAGCCUAUCAACUGAAUGGCUUGAAUAAUAAAACAUAUCAAAAUGUGAACCACCACAGCCAGACACAAGCUUGUAACAACUUUAAUUGACGUAAUUAUAAUUGAUAUGCAAUAUGUCUUACAACAAAUGUAGAUACAAUGACAUCAAAGAAGUUGCACAUUUUUUUCCAUCUUUCAGUUGGCUAACUUCCCCAAGAAAGAAAAUCUGGCAAUAAACUCUUGGCUAUUACCAAUACCAACUAGUAUUUUUAAGGUCAAUAUUGAAAUGGUACAUUCAUUUGCCCCUGAAAAAAAGGUUAAAGGCAAAGAAGGUGAAUUGACGUGCAAAUCAGCAUCCAGCCCAGUUACGUCAUUUCCCAGAGUCAAGGGAUUGAACCAUGCACCCUUGCAAGCAAGGUGAAGGGCAAGCAGAUGACAUGAAACCACAAUCAACUCCACAGUGCAUCCAAGACCUCUGGAGAGUGAAAGCAGAGAUCUUACUGCUAACAGUGCUCGGGUGUUUGUUCUGUGCCACCUUAACCUUCUAAAUUCUGAUGUUUUCAUCUGUGAGCCCUGUGUCCAGACUACCCAUCCUUUCAGUGGGAGAUGGUAACUACCUUUUGUAUCACCAGGCACAGUUCAUACUGUGUCAAUCAAGUGAAUGGGAGGGAAGCUCAGUCUGAUGUGGAUAUGAUAGAAUCAUAGUUUCAUAGAAUAAGUAAAAACCACACAUCAGUAUAACAGCAAAUAAGAAUCUGAGAUCACGUGUAUCUAUGUAAUACUUAACACGUUUAUAAAUAGUUUCUCCAGAAACUGAAAAUACUGUUGACACAAUUUCUUCAUCCCUCACAACACAAUCUGUGAGGUAGAAUGGGGUGAGCUCAAUAUCAAACCACCACCCCUAUUUUACAAAUAAAGAAAAAACAGAUGUUCUGGGGAUACCAGUGGGGCUGCAAGAAAGAAAACCAAAUUGAACAAAGUGGAUUCCUCUGUGCUCAUUUGUAGCAUCUUGAGGAGAGGUUGUCUGCCUCCCUCUUGCUCUGACAUUCUCUGUAUCGCAUCAGGAUUGCUCCUAUUAUGCUAGCAUAUGUAGUUUAGAUCUGAUGGAGCCAUUUCCCUUGGGUAGACUUAGACAGACUCUCCCUGAGGUAAAAGACAUCAAUUACUGGCAUAUGUUUCAGAUGUGUAUGUGUGUGUGUGUGUGUGUGUGUGUGUGUGUGUGUGAAUUAUCAUUUGUACAAUAAACUUGCUAAAAUAUUUUGGCUAAUUCAAUAGCAGGCAAAAAUACAGUUGGGAAAAUAAGGUUCCACCUUCAUGUAUUUCGUGCUAACAGACACUGUGCUUUUGUGUGAUGCUGUUACCUUGCUGAAUAUACCUGCUCUGGGUCCAGACCCAUCUCUUUGCUAGAAGCUUUUAGAAAAGUGAAUCACAGCAAUAAACCUAUCAAUAAACCUUCAGUAUGGAAAAACACAUGCUGCAUUCUUGGUUUAUAAUAGGUCAGGAUUCUUGGUCUCUCUGACCAAGAAUUAAGACCCACAAAAUCAUGCACUUCUCCAGAGGUGUUUCAUUGACAUUUUGUCAAAAUGAUUUUGGCUGAGUGAAGGGAGAAAAGCAUGUGGAGUGUCCUGUUUUUAUUGGCUGAAAGCCCGAUGGAAGGGACUGAGGUGGGGAAGAGGGACAGUUGUUGAGGCCAAGCAUGGCCAAAGAGGGCAUCUUUGGUCAUUCUUUGUAAUUUGUUUUUUUUUUGGAGAAGGUCCAUGUUUUGUUUUGUUUUCCUCUUGUGUUUAGUAUUCAGAUAUCUUAAUUUCUGCCACUUCAUUCCUCUGGCUCUCCUGUGGAAAGCCUCCAGGGUUGCUCAUUCCCUUGGGCCCCUAGCAUUUUAGAAUAAUGUCUUUCAGAGGGCAAAUGGCAGGUUAUGGGAAUUGGUAACUGCAGGGUUCAGGAAAAGCACAGCAAGUAUAGUUUCCAAAACACGCAUGGCAACAAGAUCCAUGUUUAGAAAUCUAAAUUGAUGCCAUUUCAAGUUCUUUAUGACAUUGGAGGAUGAGAUGACACAUUUCAAAGAGUGUGUUGUCUAUUUCCUGAAGGCAGGACAUAAAAUACCAGUUGCUAAUAUUAGAUAUUAGAAGAGAACAGAGGGGUAGCCAUGAUGUAAUACUCUUCAACAACACAAAGGAUAAAGAAACAACCAUGCAUGCCAAAACCCAACCUAUCAGCCAGCAAACUAAAUAACUCUGAGGAUAAAAAUUUGGCACAUCAUUUUAUUGGUUA